rnacentral:rRNA from 1 species
GUAUGAAGCUAUAUAGAGUUUAACCUGCCCACUGAAAAUUUUAAAGGGCCGCGGUAUUUUGACCGUGCGAAGGUAGCAUAAUCAAUAGUCUUUUAAUUGAAGGCUUGAAUGAAAGGUUGGACGAGAAAUAUACUGUUUCUUAAAUAGAGAUUGAAUUUAACUUUUAAGUGAAAAGGCUUAAAUACUACAAGAAGACGAUAAGACCCUAUAAAUCUUUAUACUAAUUUAAUUUUUUGAAAAAUUUAUAGGUUAAUUCGAUUAAGAUUUAAAUAAUAUUUUAUUGGGGCGAUAUGAAUAGAUAAUUAUCUAUUCAACGAUUUUACAGUAUAUGUCUGAAUAAAUUUUUUAGAUCCUUUUUAAGGAUUUUCAGAUCAAGUUACUUUAGGGAUAACAGCGUUAUUUUAUUUGAGAGUUCAUAUUGAAAAUAAAGUUUGCGACCUCGAUGUUGAAUUAAAAUUUCUUUGUGGUGCAGCAGCUAUAAAAGAAAGUCUGUUCGACUUUUAAAAUU